rnacentral:rRNA from 1 species
AUUGAACGCUGGCGGAAUGCUUUACACAUGCAAGUCGAGCGGCAGCGCGGGGGCAACCCUGGCGGCGAGCGGCGAACGGGUGAGUAAUGUAUCGGAACGUACCCAGUCGUGGGGGAUAACUAAUCGAAAGGUUAGCUAAUACCGCAUACGACCUGAGGGUGAAAGCGGGGGACCGCAAGGCCUCGCGCGAUUGGAGCGGCCGAUAUCGGAUUAGCUUGUUGGUGAGGUAAAGGCUCACCAAGGCGACGAUCCGUAGCUGGUCUGAGAGGACGACCAGCCACACUGGAACUGAGACACGGUCCAGACUCCUACGGGAGGCAGCAGUGGGGAAUUUUGGACAAUGGGGGCAACCCUGAUCCAGCCAUUCCGCGUGAGUGAAGAAGGCCUUCGGGUUGUAAAGCUCUUUCAGCAGGAACGAAACGGUGGCCCCUAAUACGGGCUGCUAAUGACGGUACCUGAAGAAGAAGCACCGGCUAACUACGUGCCAGCCGCCGCGGUAAAAC